UGUGGGAGCGAGCCUGCUCGCGAUGGCGUCAGGCCAAUCGGGAUUGAUGUUGACUGACACACCGCUAUCGCGAGCAGGCUCGCUCUCACA
rnacentral:misc_RNA from 1 species